rnacentral:rRNA from 1 species
CUAGUAAUGGCAGGUCAGCAUACUGCCGUGAAUACGUUCCCGGGCCUUGUACACACCGCCCGUCACACCAUGAGAGUUGGAGAUACCCGAAGCCUGUGAGCUAACAAACGAGGCAGCAGUCGAAGGUAGAAUCAAUGAUUGGGGUGAAGUCGUAACAAGGUAAC